AUGCGUUCAACAGUAAAUUGUCGCCGAUAGAUUACUAGGCGACAGUUAUGCAAGGCAACGCUAGAAUAAGCAGACGACAUUUAAUAAUGCAUUGGCCGACAAACUCCACGGCCUUUGCGUUUUGAGGUGUCGCCACA
rnacentral:snoRNA from 1 species